GACGAACGCUGGCGGCGUGCCUAAUACAUGCAAGUUGAGCGAUGAAGCUUGGUGCUUGCACCAAUUUGAAGAGCAGCGCACGGGUGAGUAACGCGUGGGGAAUCUGCCUUUGAGCGGGGGACAACAUUUGGAAACGAAUGCUAAUACCGCAUAACAACUUUAAACAUAAGUUUUAAGUUUGAAAGAUGCAAUUGCAUCACUCAAAGAUGAUCCCGCGUUGUAUUAGCUAGUUGGUGAGGUAAAGGCUCACCAAGGCGAUGAUACAUAGCCGACCUGAGAGGGUGAUCGGCCAAAUUGGGACUGAGACACGGCCCAAACGCCUACGGGAGGCAGCAGUAGGGAAUCUUCGGCAAGGGACGAAAGUCUGACCGAGCAACGCCGCGUGAGUGAAGAAGGUUUUCGGAUCGUAAAACUCGGUUGGUAGAGAAGAACGUUGGUGAGAGUGGAAAGCUCAUCAAGUGACGGUAACUACCCAGAAAGGGACGGCUAACUACGUG
rnacentral:rRNA from 1 species